rnacentral:lncRNA from 1 species
CCGUGAUGCAUCGCGCCCAGAGCGCCUACGCCCGCUCCCUCUUCGCCCUCCCUUUUCGGCUUCUGGCUCUUUCUCGGGGUAGGCCACAGGGCGGUGUUUAGCCGCGAGCUCCCAAGGAGACUACAAUUCCCAUAAUGCGUUGCGGCAUGGCCGUCUCAGCUUUUCCGGAAGGGUUCACGUUCACCUAACUUUAUUGACAAAGGCUGGUAGUCCCGAAGGCAUGCUUGUGCAUCUUUCUUUUCAGAGACAAACAGGGAACUUUUUAGCCAUUAUAUAAAAAACGUGUUCGUUAUAAACAUUUCAACCAAUAUGAAACAGGAUAAAAAGAAAGUGAACGUUACUGGGAAACUCUAGCAUCCAGAGAUCAUCACCAUCAACAUGUGUGACCUUCUUUUCCAAAGUGACGUCUCACAGCUGGGCCCACACACAUGCUUUUGCUUUACCUGCAAUUCAGAGUUAAAUAUAUUAUGUGCCAGAUCCUUUCAUACUCAGCUAAUUUAAUCUUUGCAACCACAAAGGAAGUGGGUAUCGUUACCACCCUUCCCAGCAUAAACGUGAGAAAAAUGAACCACGGUUCACACAACUACUGAGAUGUGGGCCCUCUUCUCACCCUCCUUCUCCUUCUCUGCCUACAAGGCCCUUAUCAAAUGCCGCCUCCUCCAGGAAGCUGUCCUACACCACUCCAGUCAGAACUUCUUCCGUGGCCCUCAGCCAGAUGCAAGCCCCCACAGGAGUUGGUCUGCGGCUCUGAGGGCUUUUUCACAGUCAGAGAUAACAGUAUUGUUAAUAAUAUUCUUGGCAGCUUCCUUCUCAGCCUGGGAGAGCCUCAGGCACAGGGACUGUAUCCAUCCUGGCAGCAUCCUCUCAGGACCUGGCCUGUCAUAGAUGAGGACACUGAUGCUGUGAAAUUGCCCAGGGUCAAACAGCCAGCAUACGGCAGAUCUGGGACUCUCUGGGCCUGUGGCUGCCUUUAACCCAUGAUCUUGGGUCUAUCCCAGGUGCCCCAGGGAUUGAUUUCCCACUAAAUAUCAGAGUCUCCAAGGGGUGUUUGUCAGAAAUGCUGAAUUAGGAUAUAGGGGCCGGGGGUUAGGAGUCUUCAUUUGAAACAAGCCCCGCUCUGCAGUGAGUCUGAGAGCCACUGGACUCUGCUUUUCAUUUCUGGACAUAAACGCCCAUCCUCAUCAUGCCAGAGGCUGUCUUUUCGUUUGUUAAUCUUCGAGUAACAAGGAGAGAUGGCACCCACAGAAGGAAGAGUUUGAAAACUUCUGAGGUGCAGGUGCAUUUUUUCUCCUUCCAAGGGUCUCUUAGGGCAGACAGUG